GUGGGGAAUCUUGCGCAAUGGGCGAAAGCCUGACGCAGCCAUGCCGCGUGAAUGAUGAAGGUCUUAGGAUUGUAAAAUUCUUUCACCGGGGACGAUAAUGACGGUACCCGGAGAAGAAGCUCCGGCUAACUUCGUGCCAGCAGCCGCGGUAAUACGAAGGGGGCUAGCGUUGCUCGGAAUUACUGGGCGUAAAGGGCGCGUAGGCGGACAGCUUAGUCAGAGGUGAAAGCCCAGGGCUCAACCUUGGAAUUGCCUUUGAUACUGGAUGUCUUGAGUUUGGGAGAGGUGAGUGGAACUCCGCGUGUAGAGGUGAAAUUCGUAGAUAUUCGGAAGAACACCAGUGGCGAAGGCGACAUACUGGUCCAUUACUGACGCUGAGGCUCGAAAGCGUGGGGAGCAAACAGGAUUAGAAACCCUUGUAGUCC
rnacentral:rRNA from 1 species